ncrna:unclassified sequences type-P1 twister ribozyme
UCCUUAAUGCAGCCAACGGAGGUCACAAGCCCUCGAAUAAUGCAGAGUGAGGA